AUUGAACGCUGGCGGCAGGCCUAACACAUGCAAGUCGAGCGAACCUAGCUUGCUAGGUGAGCGGCGAACGGGUGAGUAACACGUAGGAAUCUGCCCGAUAGUGGGGGACAACGUCUCGAAAGGGACGCUAAUACCGCAUACGCCCUAAGGGGGAAAGCAGGGGAUCUUCGGACCUUGCGCUAUCGGAUGAGCCUGCGUCGGAUUAGCUAGUUGGCGGGGUAAAGGCCCACCAAGGCGACGAUCCGUAGCUGGUCUGAGAGGAUGAUCAGCCACACCGGAACUGAGACACGGGCCGGACUCCUACGGGAGGCAGCAGUGGGGAAUAUUGGACAAUGGGGGCAACCCUGCUCCAGCCAUGCCGCGUGUGUGAAGAAGGCCUUCGGGUUGUAAAGCACUUUAAGCGGGGAGGAAAGUUCGCUGGCUAAUAUCCAGCGGAAUUGACGUUACCCGCAGAAUAAGCACCGGCUAACUCCGUGCCAGCCGCCGCAGUAA
rnacentral:rRNA from 1 species